GCUUAACACAUGCAAGUCAACUUGAACUUCGGUUUGGGUGGCGGACGGGUGAGUAACGCGUAAAGAACUUGCCUCACAGCUAGGGACAACAUUUGGAAACGAAUGCUAAUACCUGAUAUUAUGAUUAUAUGGCAUCGUAUAAUUAUGAAAGCUAAAUGCACUGUGAGAGAGCUUUGCGUCCCAUUAGCUAGUUGGAGAGGUAACGGCUCACCAAGGCGAUGAUGGGUAGCCGGCCUGAGAGGGUGAACGGCCACAAGGGGACUGGAGACACGGCCCUUACUCCUACGGGAGGCAGCAGUGGGGAAUAUUGGACAAUGGACCGAGAGUCUGAUCCAGCAAUUCUGUGUGCACGAUGAAGUUUUUCGGAAUGUAAAGUGCUUUCAGUUGGGAAGAAAGAAAUGACGGUACCAACAGAAGAAGUGACGGCUAAAUACGUGCCAGCAGCCGCGGUAAUACGUAUGUCACGAGCGUUAUCCGGAUUUAUUGGGCGUAAAGCGCGUCUAGGUGGUUAUGUAAGUCUGAUGUGAAAAUGCAGGGCUCAACUCUGUAUUGCGUUGGAAACUGUAUAACUAGAGUACUGGAGAGGUAAGCGGAACUACAAGUGUAGAGGUGAAAUUCGUAGAUAUUUGUAGGAAUGCCGAUGGGGAAGCCAGCUUACUGGACAGAUACUGACGCUGAAGCGCGAAAGCGUGGGUAGCAAACAGGAUUAGAUACCCUGGUAGUCCACGCCGUAAACGAUGAUUACUAGGUGUUGGGGGUCG
rnacentral:rRNA from 1 species